rnacentral:lncRNA from 1 species
GGGGAGAGGGGCGGUGGGCACGGUGCGCACAGCCAGGGAAAUGAAACACGUUACGGCGCAUAAUGCCCAAAACUUACCUGUCACAGCGCUGCCCUGCCGACCUCCGGAGGCCCGCAGAAGAGGAGUUUGCUGGGAAAUGUAGUUCGCAGGAGACCAAGCCCGAGGAAACACUACAACUCCCAUGCUUCAGGGAAAGAAAUCGCCCACCUUCCUCAAAGUUGUGCGUUGGCGAGCGCUGCGUGCUGCCCUCAGGAAGCGUAGGAGAAUAAAAUCAGAGUUGAUGCAAAUAACUAUCUGCGACAAUGCCCCCGAGUGGUUCCUUCAUCCAGUAUCACCAAGCCAUGUCCCCCACCCUGUGCUAGAAGUCGUUUGCUCCAUUUGCUGUACGAGGUCCUUCCACCAAGCGUGAAGUUGGACCUUGCAUGAGGGAGCCGCAUGUUGAAGUGUGCUGCUGUUGCCCUAAGCUAAUGGAAACCUUCAGGCUUGAGGCUCUGCCCGAAUUUUCCUUCUGUGUCCACCCGAAGAAAGAGCCACGUCCCCUUGCGUGACGUCCCUGUGGCACAGCACAGGGGACGCGCUGCAAUUCAGUUAUUCUCUUCACUCUGCAGUUUCAAGUCACUCUCUGAAGUGCACAGGUAGGCUCUAAAUGUGCCUUACAAGUCUUGUAGCUUUGUAUCUGUUCUCCGAAAAAAAUUUAGCCUGGUGCUUUUCAUCACACCUCUUAGGAAAUGAGUUUGGAUUUCUCCAGUCUGAGAUUACUGACCCCAAGUGGGCAGGCGGAGAUUUAAUCCAUACAGUUUCUGAGUGCCGAGUGUGUGGAGGCCAGUGGGUUAAGCCCCCCGAAGAGUUGUGGGGCCGGUCCAUAGCUGGUUAGCUACGCUUUGACGAGGGGAAAGAUGCCUUGAGCAAGCACCCUGAACACCUGGGCUGUGUGGAGGCAGGAAGUCCUGAAGUCCAGUCUUAAAUUUACGUUGACUCAUUGUCUGACUUUAUUUCCGGCUCCCAGCCCUGUUUCCCAUCUGUAAAUGAGAACAACAACUUCUUGUCACAACUUCUGUGAAAGAUAAGGAUUGAGUCAUACCG